AAACUUUCAACAACGGAUCUCUUGGCUCUGGCAUCGAUGAAGAACGCAGCGAAAUGCGAUAAGUAAUGUGAAUUGCAAAAUUCAGUGAAUCAUCGAAUCUUUGAACGCACAUUGCGCCCGCCAGUAUUCUGGCGGGCAUGCCUGUUCGAGCGUCAUUU
rnacentral:rRNA from 1 species